rfam:Stegodyphus mimosarum contig95794, whole genome shotgun sequence.
GCCUCCGUGACGCAAUCGGCUAGCGCGUUCGGCUGUUAACCGAAAGGUUGGUGGUUCGAGCCCCCCCAGGGGCG